rnacentral:misc_RNA from 1 species
GGAUAUGGCGGCUUGCAUUACUAAUUGCUUGCUUGAAUGGGGUUAGAAUAAUGUGUUUACUAUUACAGUUGAUAAUGCUAGCUCUAAUGAUGUUACUGUGAAAGAAAUGUCUUAAGAAUUGAGCAAUUGGAGAACUAACAUUAUGGAUGGUGACCAUCUUCAUGUGUGGUGUAUGGCACAUAUCCUUAAUCUUAUUGUGCAAGAUGGGUUGAAG